GAAAUGCGAAAAGCAAUGCGAAUUGCAGAAUUCCGCGAGUCAUCAGAUCUUCGAACGCAUCUGGCGCCGAUCGGAUAUCCGGUUGGCAUGUUUGUUUCAGUGUGUUGUUAAGACUCACACAUCUUAAUGUGAUUGACUGUGGAUCGGGGGCAACCUCUCUCUAUAGUCUCUCAUGAAAGAAGCGCUGUGCGAACCGCACUGAUGCAGUAGUCAGUCCUCGCGAUUGAUACUCAUUGGUACGGGUCACUCUACAGCAUCACAAAGUCAAUCAUCACAUACGCAUCUGAGACAAGCAAGAUAACCCGCUGAACUUAA
rnacentral:misc_RNA from 1 species